rnacentral:misc_RNA from 1 species
CGCACAUUGCGCCCCUUAGUAUUCUAGAGGGCAUGCCUGUUCGAACGUCAUUUCAACCCUCAAGCCCGGCUUGGUGUUGGGGCGCCACGUGCCUGGUCACGUGCGCCCUGGAAGACAGUGGCGGACCGCCGCAGUCCUGAGCGUAGUAUCUACGUCGCUCCGGGUGCUGCUGCGAGUCUCGCCGUGAACUCUCACAUACCAAAAGUUGACUUCGGAUCAGGUAGGAAUACCCGCUGAACUUAA